rnacentral:rRNA from 1 species
AGUGAACGCUGGCGGUAUGCCUAACACAUGCAAGUCGAACGGCAGCACAGUAAGAGCUUGCUCUUACGUGUGUCGAGUGUCGGACGGUUGAGGAAUACAUCGGAAUCUACUUUUUCGUGGGGGAUAACGUAGGGAAACUUACGCUAAUACCGCAUACGACCUACGUGUGAAAGCAGGGGAUGUUCUGACCUGUCGCUAUUGAAUGAGCCGAUGUCGGAUUAGCUAGUUGGCGGGGUAAAGGCGCACCAAGGCGACGAUCCGUAUCUGGUAUGAGAGGAUGAUCAGAUACCUUGGCACUGAGGCUCGUCCCAGACACCUACGCGAGGACACAGUGCAGAAUAUUGGACAAUGCGGGAGUGCCUAAUACUGCAAUAUGGCGUGGGUCAAGAAGGAGUUAUGCUUGUAGAGCCAUUAUGUUCGGGAAGUAAAGAGGCACGUUAACCCGCCGUUGUUAUGACAGUACCCAAAGAAUAAGCACCGGCUAACUCCGUG